rnacentral:rRNA from 1 species
AUCUCUUGGUUCUGGCAUCGAUGAAGAACGCAGCGAAAUGCGAUAAGUAAUGUGAAUUGCAGAAUUCAGUGAAUCAUCGAAUCUUUGAACGCACAUUGCGCCCUCUGGUAUUCCGGAGGGCAUGCCUGUUCGAGCGUCAUUUCAACCCU